UACGGAGGGGGCUAGCGUUAUUCGGAAUUACUGGGCGUAAAGCGCACGUAGGCGGCUUUGUAAGUAAGAGGUGAAAGCCUGGAGCUCAACUCCAGAACUGCCUUUUAGACUGCAUCGCUUGAAUCCAGGAGAGGUGAGUGGAAUUCCGAGUGUAGAGGUGAAAUUCGUAGAUAUUCGGAAGAACACCAGUGGCGAAGGCGGCUCACUGGACUGGUAUUGACGCUGAGGUGCGAAAGCGUGGGGAGCAAACAGG
rnacentral:rRNA from 1 species